AAAGUGGAAGAGGCAUAUAGGCAUGAGAGAGAUACUAAAGAAAGAGUUGAAGAAGUGAUUCUGUCAAGUUCACUGUGCCUUCCGUUAUCAGGCUGUUGGAAGAUCUUUGAGUGUGGUAAGCAAUGUUGUACAAAUCAGCGGAGAAGAUUUCUUAUCGAGCCACUUUCAUACGGAUGGUUCCAAUUUCUGGAAACUCUUGUCCGCUUCACCAUUCCAUAUAUAGAAAGUUGUCCAAUGUAAAAGAAGAAAGAAUCCCUCUACCAACUUCCCUACAGAUGCAUUAAUUCCAGUUCUUCAGAGGACUCAGUGGCUGAAACUCCCAAACUCUGAAAGUCCAAGUAGCAGUGCUCAAUAUGAUUGCGGAUUUGUCCCGGAACAAAAGGAAGUGCUUCGGCGUUGGAAGUUGUUCUAAAGAAGGUCAGCGGUCUUGUGGUGGGGAUUGCUUGUAGUGGGGUUGUGGGGCUUCGAGAUGCAUCCAUCAAUGCUCUUCAUGGGCUUGCUUGUAUCGACCCGGAUCUUGUUUGGCUUCUUGUCGAUGAUGAUUAUUAUUACUCUGUGAUGAAGAAAGACAAACCUUGAUCACCCACCUCAGAUGUACCGGAGAUAAGUGAGAUUCUACCCCCACCGUUGUCUCCGAAAGAAUACCUUUAUGUGCAAUAUGGAGGGAAGAGUUAUGGUUUUGAUGUUUUCUUCUCUUCUGUAGAAACUGUUUUCAAGAAACUGAUGCAUUUCCCCGAAUUUUCUUACCAAUAGAAGUAAAAAUUAGAAACCGAACACAUGCCACUAAAUUUUUUGUGGACGAUAAUCAGAAUUCUAUAUCCCAACAUAAAAAGAAAGUUGAGUUAUUGGCUCUUAUUGGUUUUGGUUCUGGAUUUUUGAAGGAAAUGAAUAUGGAGAAAAUCAGGAUCACAGCCAAAAAUCGAUACUUCAUUUUGCUCAACAUCUUUGAAGAGUAGAGAUUAUAGUGACAAAAUAAAGAGGGAAACAUAUUUCCAUUAGAACAAUCAGUUAGCAAUGAAAAGACGAAACUGCCUUUUUCUACUAUAGUUUGGGACCUGACAGCUGGGGUAAAAGAGUAUUUUAAGUUGGGGAAUUGGGGUCGGUCACGCAAAUGUUGUAAUCUCAAGAUGGUGUUUUGUAAAUCAAAUAAGUGAACAGAGAAAAGCAGACAAUUUUUUUUUUUUUUUUUUUUUUUUUUUGGGUGGGUUAGAAAAGGAGAGAAUUUGUUUUAGGGUAUUCACACCCAUAAAAUACCUGAAAGUUAAAUUGUUUGGGUUCAGUCUCAAAUGGGGAGCGAUAGAAAAUCCAAGAAGAAGAAUGGGAAGCGAAGAAGAUGAUAAUAGAAACAAGAGGCAGAGAAGGGUAGAAGGCGCGACUAGGAAACACAGGAGUGGUAAGAAAGACAAGUCAAGGGACAAGGAAAGCUGCAUAGGCACUCCAAACGCCAUUCCCUUAACGGUGUGAGCUUCUAGAUGCGAAAAUUCUUAUAAUAUUGGCUUGUUGUUUUGUCUCAGAGAAGAAAUCAAAGGAUAAGCAGAAAGAUAAACAUGACAAAGGUAAUCGCCUCUUGGUAAUUUUCUUAUCUAAAUUAUGCCUAUAUGACUUAUCCUUCUUUUCUUAGUGGCACUUCUUUCUAGGGGUCAUAGAUCACCUUCUUGGGACUAUGUUGAAGAGUUCUUUCUCUCCCUUCGAGUUCUCUGGGGUAAGGUUCUCUUGAAUGGAUUACUGGUUCCUUCUUUCCCAAUCAAUGCUAACACCCUUAGGCAAGUUAAGAGAGAAUGCUUAGUAAUAGGACAGUAGGAGUCUGGUAGACAGGCCAAUAGCAUGGAUGCCAAGGAUAGUUGUCCAACCUCUUUUCCCUCCAGGGGUAAUUACAGAAGAGCAAGUUCCCCUGACGGGGAUGUUAAGGUACUUUUUCACGAGGUACUUUAUCUAGAGAUAUUCAACAAGGGGCAUGCCACAAAAAAAGCUAAAGCUCAUUUGUGGUUAACAUUUUGAUAUGAUUAUUCGUCAAGUUGGCUCACAACCUUAGGAUUUUUUGUUUCUGUUUCAAUCUUUGCUCAGGUUUUAGUAGAAAACUGAAGGUUUUGGUGGUGGUGGUGGUGGUGUUUGAAUUUGUUGGGUUUUGAUGGAUGGUGUUUUUCAUUAUUCUUUUAGAAAUACAACUUCCUAGAGCUGUCCAACGAUGACUAUUUCUUAAAGAACAAUGAAUUUUCUACAUGGCUGAAGGAAGAAAAAGAUGUGUUUUUUUUCUGACUUAUCAUUAGAGUCUGCCCGAGAAAUGUUUUCACGCUAUAUCAAGGCUUGGAACAACCAAACACUUGAAUCCCAGUAUUAUGAAGGCAUUGUAAACAGACCCAGGAGUGCUCGUAAGUGGAAAAUCAAAGCAUGAAAGGCUGCAGCCUGUAACCACUUUUGUUUUGCUUAUGUUUUUGUAUUUAGUGUCUUUUUGGUCUAUUUAGUGUUACUUUUGUUCUAAUUAGUGUACUAUCUUUUGUUAUCUUCAAUUCGUUAGAGAAAAUCAAAAUCUCAAACAAUGAAAGAUACUUAUAGAAUCUCGUAACAUGAACGAGUAUAUUCAAUUAGUGGCUGACACAGAAUCGGUACUUUACAACAUAGUAUAAACUUCUAUGAGCUUCCAAAAUGGUAACAUGAUAAGAUCCAGGCAAGGGAAAGUUGGCAACUUCUAAAUCAGCUUCACCUUCAUAGCACAAGGUGAAGGGGAGAAAUUGAUGCAGUGGUUCUUCUAGAGAAAAGAAGCAGUUAUACAUAAUGGAGGAUAGAGAUGCAUCGUGUAUCUGCAAGAAAUCAAGUUUUCAUUUUGAGCAAGUGUAAGCAAAAAUUUUCCCUGAAUAUAAUCAAAUAAAUGCUUUUGAUUCUACUUACUUUUCACAUUCAGACAUUUUGGAGCCAUAUACCGUUUCCAUCUUCACAUAAAAGGUUUCCAAUUUGCAAAUGCUUUUGAUUUCUGCCUGUGACUCCCGGGAGAGGUGAGAAUUUCUUCCACAGUAGCUCCAUUUCUGAAUUGUUGGUACUCAAUGGAGUUCCUACGUACCGCAAUAGACAAGGUCACUGGAUGUGCUGAUCUAAAUGGAUGUAUGGUAUUCACUUUUAUCUUUUCAAAUUAUUGGAUUUUAUUUUAGUUUCUAGGAUCCAAGUGCUUCUGUACUAGGCAUCGUUGUACCAAGAUUAUAUAAACUAAUUUAACCUUUUAUCCAAAAAGAGCAUGUUUUGAAGAAAAUUUUCAGAUGUAAUGAAGCUUUUGUACUUAUCUUCUACGAC